rnacentral:sRNA from 1 species
GAUAUUUUUAGAGUAUCAUAAGUCCAAAAAUUAUUUUUAUAUUGAUAAAACAAUUAGAAUGAUCUUGAUCAGUAUCAGCCCAAUAAUAUUUAUGAUACUAGUAUCAUCUGACGUGGUUUUCCCUAAUUGGUCAUAUUUGUCAAAAGCAAAAAAAAAAAAGGUACUAAAUAAACAUUAU